rnacentral:lncRNA from 1 species
GAAUUCAAUUCUUCAUAUUCAACAUUUUGCUCUUAAAAAAAAUUAGAGUGAAAAGACAUCGCAAGAGAAACAUGACAAUCCAAAUCUUAGUAACCUUACCUAAAUAUUUUUGCUAUCUUUUGCAAUACCGUGAGAAUUUUAUUGAUAAACAAAAUAAAAAAUACAAAAGAUAUUUUGGGGGGACUAGGCCAAAACCCAAAAAAACAAUAAAAUGUUUGGAUAACUGUCUCAUUAAAAAACCUUAAAAGGAAAAAGAGUACAGUUUCAAUGAAGACCAAACACAAUGAAAGCAACCAAGCAUCGUUUAAAUCUAUAAUUACCUAUUGUAUUUCUAGAGAAAUCUUAUUUGAUUCCCCAUGGUAACAAAUUCAACCACAUGAAGUCAAAAAUUUGAAAACCAUAAUUACUUAUUUUAAUUAUACAUUAAAGAUCUAAAAUAAUAUAGAUCAUGGGUGCACAAAACUUAUCUUUGCAAAAAAAUUUAUUAGGGCAGUCAAAAUCUGUGAAGCAUGGAGUUGCUGCAUUGUCAAAUAGAAAAAAUAAAAUUAUUAAAAAGGGAUAUAAUAUUAUUUAGAAGGUAAAUUUGAAAUUUUGAAAAUUGUCUGAACAAUGACAUACCAGGACCACCAUCACCACUAGUUAUAACAAGAAGUAAAGAAAGAAAGAUGAUGAAUGCAAAAACUAACAUGUAUAUUUGAGCCAUAUUUGUUCUUAUUUGCGUGUAGUAAAUAGAUUUUUGU